ACUCAAAGGAAUUGACGGGGACCCGCACAAGCAGUGGAGCAUGUGGUUUAAUUCGAUGCAACGCGAAGAACCUUACCCAGACUUGACAUACAGUAGACAGUACUAGAAAUAGUAUCUUCCUUCGGGACUGCUGAACAGGUGCUGCAUGGCUGUCGUCAGCUCGUGCCGUGAGGUGUUGGGUUAAGUCCCGCAACGAGCGCAACCCUUAUCAUUAGUUGCCAACAUUUAAGGUGGGAACUCUAAUGAGACUGCCUGGGUUAACCAGGAGGAAGGUGAGGAUGACGUCAAGUCCGCAUGGCCCUUAUGUCUGGGGCUACACACGUGCUACAAUGGUCGGUACAGAAGGCAGCGAAGCCGCGAGGUGAAGCAAAUCCAAAAAGCCGAUCUCAGUUCAGAUUGUAGUCUGCAACUCGACUACAUGAAGAUGGAAUUGCUAGUAAUGGCGAGUCAGCAACAUCGCCGUGAAUACGUUCCCGGGUCUUGCACACACCGCCCGU
rnacentral:rRNA from 1 species